rnacentral:rRNA from 1 species
ACAAUUAUAAGUAAGAUCUGCUCCAUGAAUUAUAAAUAGCCGCAGAAUUUUAACUGUGCUAAGGUAGCAUAAUCAUUUACCUUUUAAUUAAAGGUCUGUAUGAACGAUUACUCAAUUAAAUCAUUUUUUUAUAAAUACUUAUUUAAUUUAAACUAAAAAUAAAAAUGUUUUUAUAAAAAAGAAAGACGAUAAGACCCUAAUGAACUUUACUAAAGUUUAGCUGGGGAAGCUAAUUAACCAUAAUUUUAAUUUUAAACUUUUAAUAGAUAUCUAAUACAAUUAAUUUAACCAAGUUACCAUAGGGAUAACAGCGUAAUAUAAUUUAAAAGCUCAUAUUUAAAAUUAAGAUUACGACCUCGAUGCUGAAUUAAAAAUUCUCUAAAGCGCAAUAGCCUAAAAGGAGGUCUGU